GUAGUCUCGCACAGAUGCAUAUCAAUAAGCGGAGGAAAAGAAACUAACAAGGAUUCCCCUAGUAACGGCGAGUGAAGCGGGAAGAGCUCAAAUUUGAAAUCUUAAAGGGUUUCCCUUUACGAAUUGUAGUUUAAAGAAGUGUUUUCUGUUGAGGUUUUGGUAAAAGUUCUUUGGAAUAGGACAUCAUAGAGGGUGAGAAUCCCGUAUUUGACCUUUACUUUCAACUUUGUGAUACACUUUCAAAGAGUCGGAUUGUUUGGGAAUGCAGUCCAAAAUGGGUGGUAAAUUUCAUCUAAAGCUAAAUAUUGGCGAGAGACCGAUAGCGAACAAGUACCGUGAGGGAAAGAUGAAAAGAACUUUGAAAAGAGAGUUAAACAGUACGUGAAAUUGUCAAAAGGGAAGCGUUUGACACCAGUGUUGUUUUUCUGAAAAUCAAUUAAAGAACUGUUUAUGCUAAGCUGUUUAGACUUUAUCAGCUAAUCUGUUUAGUUUUGAGCUUUUCUUUAAUGCACUUUUCAGUUAACAAGUCAACAUCAAUUUCUUUUGCUGUAAAAAAGCUUGAGGAAGGUGGCUUGAGAUUCGUCUUAAGUGUUUAUAGCCUCUUGCCUAUGCAGUCGGAGAGAUUGAGGUCUGCAGCGUAGAUCCUUCGGGGCUAAAUGCAUUUGUGCUAAGUUAUAACAUUUUAUAGACAACUUGUUGACUAUGAUUUGUCUUGUAGCUUACUCGCUUAUGUUAUUUUACCUACGCUUAGGAUGUUGAUCUGUAGUGCGUGCG
rnacentral:rRNA from 1 species